UACGAAGGGAGCUAGCGUUGUUCGGAAUCACUGGGCGUAAAGCGCACGUAGGCGGAUGUGUCAGUCAGGGGUGAAAUCCCGGAGCUCAACUUCGGAACUGCCUUUGAUACAGCACGUCUUGAGUCCGAUAGAGGUGGGUGGAAUUCCUAGUGUAGAGGUGAAAUUCGUAGAUAUUCGGAAGAACACCAGUGGCGAAGGCGACUUACUGGACACAUAUUGACGCUGAGGUGCGAAAGCCAGGGGAGCAAACGGG
rnacentral:rRNA from 1 species